rnacentral:ncRNA from 2 species
UAAUUAUCCAGAAAGACUGAGGGAAAGGCCCUGUGAUGUCUUAGCAACCUGUACAGAUUGUUAUAAAGGUGCUAAUUCCUAUCUGUAAUUACUUGCAGAAAAGAUAAUGA